CCUACGGGAGGCAGCAGUGGGGAAUAUUGGACAAUGGGCGAAAGCCUGAUCCAGCAAUGCCGCGUGAGUGAUGAAGGCCUUAGGGUUGUAAAGCUCUUUUACCAGGGAUGAUAAUGACAGUACCUGGAGAAUAAGCUCCGGCUAACUCCGUGCCAGCAGCCGCGGUAAUACGGAGGGAGCUAGCGUUGUUCGGAAUUACUGGGCGUAAAGCGUACGUAGGCGGUUAUUCAAGUCAGAGGUGAAAGCCUGGAGCUCAACUCCAGAACUGCCUUUGAAACUAGAUAGCUAGAAUCUUGGAGAGGUGAGUGGAAUUCCGAGUGUAGAGGUGAAAUUCGUAGAUAUUCGGAAGAACACCAGUGGCGAAGGCGACUCACUGGACAAGUAUUGACGCUGAGGUACGAAAGCGUGGGGAGCAAACAGGAUUAGAUACCCUGGUAGUCCACGCCGUAAACGAUGAUAACUAGCUGUUCGGGCUCUACGAGCUUGAGUGGCCGNNGCUACGCAUUAAGUUAUCCGUCCGUGGAGGUACGGUCGCGAGAAUAAACUACAANAGAGUAGACGCGNGAGACGUGCCGACGGACGACGACGAGGGAGGUUAGG
rnacentral:rRNA from 1 species